rnacentral:SRP_RNA from 1 species
GCCGGGCGUGGUGGCGUGCGCCUGUAGUCCCAGCUACUCGGAAGGCUGAGGUGGGAGGAUCGCUUGAGUCCAGGAGUUCUGGGCUGCAGUGCGCUAUGCCGAUCGGGUGUCCGCACUAAGUUCGGCAUCAAUAUGGUGACCUCCCAGGAGCGGGGAACCACCAGGUUGCCUAAGGUGGGGUGAACCGGCCCAGGUCGGAAACGGAGCAGGGCAAAACUCCCGUGCUGAUCAGUAGUGGGAUCGCACCUGUGAAUAGCCACUGCACUCCAGCCUGGGCAAUAUAGUGAGACCCUGUCUCA